rnacentral:rRNA from 1 species
UACGUAGGGGGCGAGCGUUGUCCGGAUUCAUUGGGCGUAAAGAGCUCGUAGGCGGCUUGGCAAGUCGGGUGUGAAAACUUCAGGCUCAACCUGGAGCGGCCACUCGAUACUGCCAUGGCUUGAGUCCGGUAGGGGACCACGGAAUUCCUGGUGUAGCGGUGAAAUGCGCAGAUAUCAGGAGGAACACCGGUGGCGAAGGCGGUGUCUGGGCCGUACCUGACGCUGAGGAGCGAAAGCGUGGGGAGCAACAGG